AACGUCGUGUCCCUGGCCAAAAAUAGUCGCGGUAUGACGGCAUAAAUCGGUAAAAAUAUGUAACACAGAACAUUUCCUAAAAAUGCAUUCAGAUACAUUUGUGCAUGUCUACAGUUAUCUGGGGUUGCAUGUGUAAUUGUUAUUUUGACUUUUAGCUAUGUGUAGUUCAAUAUAUACCAUGUUGUGUUUCGGGUGAGAGAGGACGUCACCAUGGCGACGUCUUUUACACGUGCAUUUAUAGUCCAUCAUGACCCUCUAUGAAAUCAAUUGUGAUAAAGCUGUGCUUAAUCCUUGCAUGGUUAAUACUGCAAUAAUUAAUUAAAUUCGCCAAGUUUUAAGAAGUUGUGUGAAUACGUCCACUGACGUCCUUUACACGUCUAUAGUCAAGGCUGUGAAUAGUCGUCCACUGACGUCCUUUACACGUCUAGUCAAGGAAAACAUUAAAAACAUGAAUUAUCUUUAUGAAAUACACAAUUUUACACAAAUAUAUUUACUUUAUCUUGUUUAAAUAAAUUAUAAGUACAAAGUGCCCAGUCAGUGUGGUUAAUUGAUUUCAAAGCCACUGCAUUUUAGUCAUUAUUUCAACCUGUUGUAACUGUAUUCGUUGUUGUUUUUUUAUGGAAUGCAUAUACAUGUAAAACAUAAAUAUAUCCGGUCACCAUUAUGUCUGAGUUGGAGCACUUUUUUUAUUUAUUUUUUAUUGAACAACAAGAACAUUAAAAAAACUGAAAAUACAUCUAUAAUGGCAUUGGUACAGAUAACUGCGCAAGGCACAUCAGUUAAAUUAAUAAAUAAUGAUGAAAGAAAAAAUUAGGUAGGCUAUAGAAAAAAAAUAUAAUAAAUAAGAGAUUAAUCACUCUUCUAAGAGAUCAAAAUCUCUUACUAUUUGAAACAAUUUAUGUGCCUUACUUUUCAUACAUUCCAACAAUGGAAAUAAAUUACAAAUAAAAUCUCUUUAAAAAAAAGAAAAACAAGGUUUCAUCUUCAUAUAUCUACAUUUAUGAAUAAAAAAAUUGCCCCAAAUCAACAUUACAUUAAUUACAAAUUAAUUUCAUUUCUCAUCUAAUAAUAUUCCAAACAUAAUGUUUCCUAUUAAAAGUGGACAGUGAAUGAAUCUUAGUAUGUAGUAACAAAAGAUCUCGCGAUAGGAUAUAUUAUCUCACGAGAUGUUAACGCCUUCUGGUUCUGGCGGAGGACCGGAACCUAUGACCGGAACCCAGAACUUUAUCAUUGACCAACCACGAGGAGAGGAGUUUGCGUCGUAUUGCGAUUCGAGAUUAUUAAAAAUCUACUGUUGGACUCUGGAACCCGGAACUUUAGCACUUAGAAUAACCACAAGGAGAGGAGGAAUUGAGUUGUACGUUAUCGAGAUUAUUAAAAUCUACUGUUGGAAUUGCUAAACAUGUCCUCCGAAUACAAAAAGAAGUGGAGACGACGAAGGGCAAGGGUUGAUGCCUUAGUGGAACGUGGUAGCAGCUCUGAAUCCGAGGGGUCAGUGGAGCCAGCCUUGGCGGGGGAGGGCAGUACACUGGCGGAGGGAUCAACAUAUGACGAUUUACCUACUAUGGAGGGCUGUAGUUCUUCCAAAAGCACAGUAGCAGUGUCCAUUAGGGGUGAUACCGAUGAAGAACAUAAUUAUGAGACAGAAUCUACUGAAACAGAUUCUGAGCAGUUGGAUGAGACUUCACAUUCAACUGAUGAAACUCCUUCUCUCCACGAAGACUUGGCUAAUUGGGCUACUGCUACGAAUCAAACCCACAAGGCACUAAAUGAGCUUCUUUGUGUGCUCAGGCGCCAUGGGCAUAGACUUCCCAAAGAUGCUAGAAGCCUUCUUGAUACUCCACAAGGAGUGCCAGUUCAAAAUAAAUGCAAUGGACAGUAUAUUUAUUAUGGUAUUGAGCGUUACCUUCUUGAACACAUUUCAAAAAAGACACAGCCAGGACAAGUUGAACUGUCCUUUAACGUGGAUGGCGUGCCAUUGUUUAAAUCGAGCAAAAUGUGUUUCUGGCCCAUUCUUGGUCAAAUUCCGAACUUUCAGCCAUUUGUUGUAGCUCUGUAUUAUGGAUCCAGCAAGCCUGACCCUGUUGAGGAGUUUUUACAAGAUUUCUUGGAGGAGUUGCAACCGCUCAUCCAAAAUGGAGUUUCAUUCCAGAAUUUGGUUCACACAGUUACAGUGAAGGCAAUCAUCUGUGAUGCACAAGCCCGGUCAUUUCUAAAAAGUAUAAAAAGUCACAAUAGUCUCCAGCACGCCCGGGCACCCGAGCACCGUCGAACGGCCCACUGUGGCACCAGACCCUCAACGAGUGCGUACCCCAUGUCAACCACAAAAUUUCAAAGGAAGGUGUUUUCUAUGUCGUUUGAUUUAAAAGAUCAACUUCAGCAAGUAGCUGGCAUUCUUGACCCUGGCAGGUCUACAGCAACUAUAAAAAAAACUGGAAUCUGAGAGUGACCUAAAAAUCUUUGAAGAUAAAAUUCAAGAUGUUGAUAAUCGGUUGAUCUGCGUCCAGCAACUGUCCAGAAUCGGUGGGUCUACAAUAAGAGACUGUGUGAAUAAAGUAAUGAACAGAGUGAUGUCCAAUGCUUUAAUGGCCAAGUUCAACAUGAGAGGUGGUGGCCAGCUUGAAAAAAAGCCAUUUAAAGCCACACCUUUGUAUAAUUUAAUUCAAGAUGCUGUGAAGAGGUGGAACCCCAAUUUAACGGAAUCGGAAAUUGAUGGCGCUAUGGCUGAACAUCUAAAACAUGGUCCAGGAAGAGCGGGGGGUGGGGGUUAUAAAAAAUAAGUUUUCAGGUGAAAAAGAUGUGGGAGAUAUUUGUGACAGCUCAAUUCCUUAAAUUUAGUUAUGAAACUGAAUUUGUUUCGUGAUGAACAUGUUAAUUUUUCCUGUUUCCCAGGUGAAUUUGUAUUAAAACCAUAAAAUAAAUGUGAUAAAUAAAUUGUGACUUUAGUUCA